GAACGAUGAACCUUAGCUUGCUAAGGGGAUUAGUGGCGAACGGGUGAGUAAUAUAUCGGAACGUGCCUUGUAAUGGGGGAUAACUAGUCGAAAGAUUAGCUAAUACCGCAUACGCCCUGAGGGGGAAAGUAGGGGAUCUUCGGACCUUACGUUAUAAGAGCGGCCGAUAUCUGAUUAGCUAGUUGGUGGGGUAAUGGCCUACCAAGGCUUCGAUCAGUAGCUGGUCUGAGAGGACGACCAGCCACACUGGAACUGAGACACGGUCCAGACUCCUACGGGAGGCAGCAGUGGGGAAUUUUGGACAAUGGGCGCAAGCCUGAUCCAGCCAUUCCGCGUGAGUGAAGAAGGCCUUCGGGUUGUAAAGCUCUUUCGCAAGGGAAGAAAACUUACACAAUAACACUGUGUGAGGCUGACGGUACCUUGAUAAGAAGCACCGGCUAACUACGUGCCAGCAGCCGCGGUAAUACGUAGGGUGCGAGCGUUAAUCGGAAUUACUGGGCGUAAAGCGUGCGCAGGCGGUUUGGCAAGUCAGAUGUGAAAUCCCCGAGCUCAACUUGGGAACUGCGUUUGAAACUGCCAGACUAGAAUAUGUCAGAGGGGGGUAGAAUUCCACGUGUAGCAGUGAAAUGCGUAGAGAUGUGGAGGAAUACCAAUGGCGAAGGCAGCCCCCUGGGAUAAUAUUGACGCUCAUGCACG
rnacentral:rRNA from 1 species